UGGAUCGGCGAACGGCGCCGGUUCCCUGACGACGGUUAAGUACCAGGAACGCGCAAAGACUUGCCAUU
rnacentral:ncRNA from 1 species